rnacentral:rRNA from 1 species
GACGAACGCUGGCGGCGUGCUUAACACAUGCAAGUCGAACGGAAAGGCCCUGCUUUUGUGGGGUGCUCGAGUGGCGAACGGGUGAGUAACACGUGAGUAACCUGCCCUUGACUUUGGGAUAACUUCAGGAAACUGGGGCUAAUACCGGAUAGGAGCUCCUGCGGCAGGGGGGGGGUUGGAAAGUGUCGGCGGUGGGGGAUGGACACGCGGCUUAUCAGGUUGUGGGUGGGGUGGUGGCUUACCAAGGCUUUGACGGGUAGCCGGCCUGAGAGGGUGACCGGCCACAUUGCGACUGAGGUACGGCGCAGACUCCUACGGGAGGCAGCAGUGGGGGAUAUUGCACCAUGGGCGGAGGCCUGCUGCAGCAACGCCGCGUGCGGGAUGACGGCCUUCGGGUUGUAAACCGCUUUCGCCUGUGACGAAGCGUGAGUGACGGUAAUGGGUAAAGAAGCACCGGCUAACUACGUG